UCUCUCUUUAUUUCUUUCACUCUCUCAGAACCAAAAUUUUCCAAACUCCUCAACUCUCAUCAGAUAUCAACCUUCUCUCUCUCCAAACUCUCGCACCUUUCUGCUCUGCCCUUCAAUUUAUUCACCUCUGACACCCUCUUAAUUCUGCUUCCAGUUCCUCUGAGUGGUGAGGAUGAUCUCUUCUCACUCCCACAAUUCCCACAUUAUAGUAAUCCUCAUCACCUGCUUCUUUCGUCAUAAAUUCUAGAUCAAACUCCACACCCUGAUCCUCCCUUUUACUUCUUAUGGAGCAUGUAUCAACUCAAAUGAAUAACAUGACCCUUUAGUCUAAGAAUAAGAAAAACACACACACACACACACACACACAACACACUUCAAAGUCCAAAGUCCACACCAACCCACCAAAAAGUCUUGUUCCCAUGGCGAGUGGCAAGCUUUAUGCUGGUUCAAACAUGUCACUUCUCCUCCAAAACGAAAGGCUCCCUUGCUCCUCUGAAGUCCUUGAGUCUCUUUGGGCUCACACCUCUAACCCUGCUUCCUUCCAAGGUUCAAAAUCCGUGGUUGAUUUUGAGAAUGUUAAUGGGAGCAGGGUGACGGAUAGGCCCUUUUUUCAAGCGUUGGAGAAAGAAGAGAACUGUGAUGAGGAUUACGAGGGGUGUUUCCAUCAACCGGGGAAGAAAAGGAGGCUCACAAGCGAACAAGUUCAGUUCCUUGAAAGGAACUUUGAGGUAGAGAACAAGCUUGAACCCGAAAGGAAGGUCCAACUUGCAAAAGAGCUUGGCUUGCAGCCAAGGCAAGUUGCUAUAUGGUUCCAAAACCGAAGAGCAAGGUUCAAGACCAAGCAGCUAGAAAAAGACUAUGGCGUGUUGAAAGCUAGUUAUGAUAGGCUCAAAGGUGACUAUGAAAGUCUUGUUCAAGAGAAUGACAAGUUAAAAGCAGAGGUGAAUUCUCUGGAGAGCAAAUUGAUUCUUAGAGAUAAAGAGAAGGAGGAGAAUUCGGAUGACAAGUCAUCUCCUGAUGAUGCUGUCAAUUCUUCACCCCACAACAACAAGGAGCCUAUUAUGGAUUUAUUAAUUUCAAAAAAUGCAACAACAUCUGAAAAUGGAACCGAAGUGUCAACACUCCCACUCCCUAUUAUGGUAACAUGCAAGCAAGAAGAUGCCAAUUCAGCCAAAAGUGAUGUGCUUGAUUCGGAUAGCCCACAUUGCACUGAUUAUGGGAACCACCCUUCCUCAUUCGUGGAGCCUGCUGAUUCCUCUCAUGCCUUUGAACCAGAAGACCACUCAGAAGACUUCUCACAAGAUGAAGAGGAUAACCUUAGUGAAAACUUUUUGACCCUCCCUUCUUCUUGUUGCUUACCUAAGGUUGAAGAACCCUGCUAUGAUGACCCUCCAGAAAACUCUUGUAAUUUUGGCUUCCAUGUUGAGGAUCAAACCUUCUGUUUCUGGCCCUACUGAACCAACCAACCAACCAACCGCUUCCAAUGUUAUAAAAACUUCGCAGUUGUAACCAUGUACUAGAAAUCAAUAAAAAUGGUAUUGUUACUUCUACUAAGGAAUAAAAAUCAGAAGGCUAAUGCAAUGCAUCAUGCUAUCAUCACUGGUGGUGUUAAUAGUUAGCAGUGAAAGUGUAACACAAUGUUACUACUAGCUAAAAUUCAAAAACUUGGUUCAGGUGUGCGCGUAGGUAUCCCAAAAUUUCAGGUGGGGUACAGCAACCAAUCGUUGUUUUACUUUCGGAUGUGGAAAAUGGAAACCCUGUUUUCUCUUUC